GACGAACGCUGGCGGCGUGCUUAACACAUGCAAGUCGAACGGAAAGGCCCUGCUCUUGUGGUUUGCUCGAUUGGCGAACGCGUGAGUAACACGCGUGUAACCCCCCCUUGACUUUCUGAUAACAUCACGAAACUCGGGCGAUUACCGGAGAUGAUCUCCUGCUCCAUGGGGUUGGUUGGAAAGAUUCGGCGGUGGGGGAUUGACUCGCUGCUUAUCAGCUUGUUGGUGUGGUAGUGGCUUACCAAGGCUUUGACGGGUAGCCCGCCUGAGAGGUUGACCAGGGACAUUAGGACUGAGAUACGGAGCAGAAUCGUACCGGAGGCAACAGUGGAAAGUAUGACGGAGUGGGCGGACGUCUGAUACAGCAACGCUGGGUGCGGAAAGACGGGCUUCGGGUUGUGAACAGAUUUGGCAUGUGACGAGGAGUGAGUGACGGUAAUGGGUAAAGAAGCCACGGCUAACUACGUG
rnacentral:rRNA from 1 species